GGUGGUGGCGCAGUCAUUUUGCUGAUCUGAUGCUUCUCCCACCCACAUAAGUGGGAGUGGAGCAGGGCGUGUGGGUCCGGCUGCUGCCUCUGCCUCAGCACGUCAGAGACGGUCAUCUGCUCCUGUUCUUGCCGUUCGCGGGGUCUGCCUCCAGCAAGUUCUCCUUCAGCAUUCUGAGUGUACCACGGGACAGCUAGAAUACAGAGACGUGUAACAGCCUGGUCCUCAUUCCACCGACGAGGAAGCAGAGUCAUCUAGCCUCCCUCACUGAAGUUGAAGUCGCUCUGGUUCGAACGCCUCUGACAAUCCUACGGGCGAGCACAUCAUUUUCCAGCCCUCACUCAAGAUGGAGUCGCUCUGCUUCCAACACCACUGACAAUCCUGCGAGUGAGCACAACAUUUCUGGAUUAGAGGGAGACCCAUUUUUUAUUUACAGAACAUAUUGGCAUUGGUUCCUUGUGACUGCUCCCCACCUGGGACAAUGUGGUGAUAGAGAGAGGAGCCUGCCUGUGCAAAAGGGGGUUUUGCUCUACAGGAGGGAAACCUGAAGAUUAUGAGUCUUAGAGCUGAUGUAGGA